UACGUAGGGGGCUAGCGUUGUUCGGAAUUACUGGGCGUAAAGCGCACGUAGGCGGUUACUUAAGUCAGGGGUGAAGUCCCGGGGCUCAACCCCGGAACUGCCUUUGAUACUGGGUAUCUCGAGUCCGGAAGAGGUGAGUGGAAUUCCGAGUGUAGAGGUGAAAUUCGUAGAUAUUCGGAGGAACACCAGUGGCGAAGGCGGCUCACUGGUCCGGUACUGACGCUGAGACGCGAAAGCGUGGGGAGCAAACAGG
rnacentral:rRNA from 1 species